rnacentral:rRNA from 1 species
UACGUAGGGUGCGAGCGUUGUCCGGAAUUACUGGGCGUAAAGAGCUCGUAGGUGGUUUGUCGCGUUGUCCGUGAAAACUCACAACUCAAUUGUGGGCGUGCGGGCGAUACGGGCAGACUGGAGUACUGCAGGGGAGACUGGAAUUCCUGGUGUAGCGGUGGAAUGCGCAGAUAUCAGGAGGAACACCGGUGGCGAAGGCGGGUCUCUGGGCAGUAACUGACGCUGAGACGCGAAAGCGUGGGGGAGCAAACAGG